GGAGACCCAGUCUCGAUAGAAAGAAGAAGGAUAGAAGGAUCAGAGAUCACGCUAGGGCUGCAGAACACCUACAGCACCCUUUUGAAUGCAACUGGAAGUAUUGGUGCCUCAGGAGCUACACAAGCCUGAACCACCUGCUAUUUACCAGAUGUAUGAGCUUGGGCCAUUCCCUUACCCCAUGGGGGGUUCGCAGCUUCCAACAUGUAAAAUAGCAGUCAUAGUGCCAACUUCUUCACAUUGUAAGUGAUGAAUAAGAUAGCAUGACAACUGCCUGCCUGGUCCACAUGGGAGCUGGGCCACUGUUCUGUCCUCCCUUUCAUGCUGCCACUCCCAUGAUGCUGGCAGAUGUGACCAAUGCUCCUGCCUGUUCAGGUGAUGAUGGCUAUGAGGAAACAAAGAACACAGCUGCUCACUGGCUUCCAUGCUGAUGCUCCCAGGCAGCCACUUCUCCCCUUAGUUCGGGAUUGUUUUUAAAUUUUUUCCAUUUUGGGUAAUAUUUAGUCUCCACAUGAUCAUUCUUACAGAUCUUUAUUGAGUACAAGUGUAUGGGGCAGGAAACAAUGGGGAGGAUUUUAGGUUUUCCAUGGUUCAGUGGAGAAGCAGCCCUCUUCCCAUCAGCAAACACUAUUUUUAUCCUUAGGAGUCCUGUUGUUAUUCUCUGUGCACGUUGGAGGAAGUCAGUUUGAGAGAGAAAACUUCUGUUUCCGGCACUUUCAUUUUCUUUUAUAUCAAAUAUCUUGUAUCUUCUAUUCAUUUCAAGGUGUAGAUCUGGGACCUGUGCCAUCCUCAAAUGUGUGGGCAGAGUUUUGUUUUGGUUUGGUUUUUCACCGAGCACCAGCUUCCUCUGUUGCCUGAACAGCUGUGUUUGGUUCUUGGCAGCAAGUGUCUUCUGGAGCUUAGAACUGCCUUGCUAGGAGCAUGUGUAGAGUGUCUUGAAUGAAAAAUAAACCUUGGA
rnacentral:lncRNA from 1 species